UAUGUUAGGGAGGAGCUUGCGUCACAUUAGUUAGUUGGUGGGGUAAAGGCCUACCAAGACUAUGAUGUGUAGCCGGGCUGAGAGGUUGAACGGCCACAUUGGGACUGAGACACGGCCCAAACUCCUACGGGAGGCAGCAGUAGGGAAUUUUCGGCAAUGGAGGAAACUCUGACCGAGCAACGCCGCGUGAACGAUGAAGUAUUUCGGUAUGUAAAGUUCUUUUAUUAGGGAAGAAUAAAUGAUGGAAAAAUCAUUCUGACUGUACCUAAUGAAUAAGCCCCGGCUAACUAUGUGCCAGCAGCCGCGGUAAUACAUAGGGGGCAAGCGUUAUCCGGAAUUAUUGGGCGUAAAGGGUGCGUAGGCGGUUAAAUAAGUUUAUGGUCUAAGUGCAAUGCUCAACAUUGUGAUGCUAUAAAAACUGUUUAGCUAGAGUAAGAUAGAGGCAAGUGGAAUUCCAUGUGUAGUGGUAAAAUGCGUAAAUAUAUGGAGGAACACCAGUAGCGAAGGCGGCUUGCUGGGUCUUUACUGACGCUGAGGCACGAAAGCGUGGGGAGCAAACAGGAUUAGAUACCCUGGUAGUCCACGCUGUAAACGAUGAGUACUAAACGUUGGGUAAAACCAGUGUUGAAGUUAACACAUUAAGUACUCCGCCUGAGUAGUACGUACGCAAGUAUGAAACUUAAAGGAAUUGACGGGACUCCGCACAAGCGGUGGAUCAUGUUGUUUAAUUCGAAGGUACCCGAAAAACCUCACCAGGUCUUGACAUGCUUCUGCAAAGUUGUAGAAAUACAGUGGAGGUUAUCAGUUGCACAGGUGGUGCAUGGUUGUCGUCAGCUCGUGUCGUGAGAUGUUGGGUUAAGUCCCGCAACGAGCGCAACCCUUAUUGUUAGUUACCAGCACGUAAUGGUGGGGACUUUAGCAAGACUGCCAGUGAUAAAUUGGAGGAAGGUGGGGACGACGUCAAAUCAUCAUGCCCCUUAUGACCUGGGCUACAAACGUGAUACAAUGGCUGUUACAAAGGGUA
rnacentral:rRNA from 1 species